AGUCAACGCCCCGCCCCUGCCCCGCCUCCUGAGCCCUUCUCUGAGUCUGGCCUUAGUCCCCCCGCCAUAUUGGGAGACAUAUCAGCCUCUCCUCUCCAUGGAUAUUAGGAAGAAUAUCCCAGGAUGGGUGUACACCUCCUGCUGUAUGGGGAGUCAUAUCGUCCUCUCCCUUCCUGGCUACUAGGAACAAUUUCAGAGGGUGGGUGUACACAGCCUGCGAUAUUGUGAGUAAUAUCACCCUCUCCCCCUCCGGAUAUUAGGAACAAUGUCACAGAAGGGGUGUACAUUUCCUGUGAUACCGGGAGUAAUAGCAUUCUCUUCUUCCGUGAGUAUGAGGAGGAAUAUCACCGGGUGGAUGCACACCCAGUGCUAUAUUGGGAGUAACGUCAUACGCCAUCCACUGGAGAUGAGAUUCGGAUCAAUAUCACCGGCUGGGUGUACAGCUACUGCGAUAUUGAACGUAAUAUCAUGCUCUCUCCCUUCCUGGACAUUAGGAGCAAUAUCACAGCUCAUUUACGACCCAAAACGGGGAUCCAAAUGCCCCUGAGAGAGCAGCGGUAUACUUGGAUAGAGGAGGAUGGUCACGUAGUGGAGAGGCGUGUUUCUGGGUACCAGCCCUUCACCUCUGCCGACCUUCUCAACUGGGAAAACAAUACACCGCCCUCUACCGAAAAGCCACAAACCCUAAUUGAUUGGCUCCAAACUGUUAUCCAGACCCACAACACCAUCUGGGCUGAUUGCCACCAGUGGCUCAUGUUCCUCUUUAACAGAGAUGAAAGGUGGAGAGUCCUCCAAGCAGCAACUAAGUGGCUAGAGGAACAUGCACCAGCUGAUUAUCAAAACCCCCAAGAGUAUGGAAGGACCCAGUGACCAGGAACCGACCCCCAGAUGGACCCACAUGAAAGAGAGGAUAUGCAAAGGCUAAACCGAGACAGGGAAGCUCUCUUGGAAGGAUUAAAGAGGGGAGCUCAGAAGGCCACAAACGUUAACAAGGUCUCUGAGGUCAUUCAGGGAAAAAGAAGAAAGUCCAGCACAAUUAUACGAGAGACUGUGUAAGGCCAAUCAUAUGUAUACUCUCUUUGAUCCCCAUAGCCCUGAAAUCAGCACGUGAUUCAUAUGGCUUUAGUCGGUCAAAGUGCUGGCUCUUCGCUUUACAAAUGUAAAUCCUGAGGCUGCAAUCCUAAGUUGUUAGCUCAAGGUCAUGCAACUGUACAUUACCAUAUUCUAUGACCAUACUCUUCAUCAUUAGUAAGUAGACAAAGAUCUUUAUAGUUUUCUUUUUUUUUUUUUUUUUGAGAUGGAGUCUCCUUCUGUCGCCCAGGCUGGAGUGCAGUGGCGGGAUCUUGGCUCACUGCAAGCUCUGCCUCCUGGGUUCACACCAUUCUCCUGCCUCAGCCUUCUGAGCAGCUGGGGCUACAGGCACCCGCCACCACUCCCAGCUAAUUUUUUGUAUUUUUUAGUAGAGACAGGGUUUCACCCUGGUAGCCAGGAUGGUCUUGAUUUCCUAACCUCAUGAUCCACCUUCCUCGGCCUCCCAAAGUGCUAGGAUUUUAGGCAUGGGUCACUGUGCCCAGCCUGCUGGGAGACUUCUAUGUCUACUUCCCAUCGGUCAUUAGUGGAGGGGCUUCCAUGGGGGGCAUUAUUCCUUGACACUUCCAGUUUGCCCAGCAAGAGGCAAAGGACUCCAGAGGCAAGAGAAAGACCUUGGGCCACAAGACCCAUAUCUGGCAUCUCAAAGCAAUGUUCUAGUAAAGACAUAAAUGCCAGGAGCGGGUAUAAGUGGAGCACUAAGACUAUCUACUAUAAGAAAAUAUGUCACUAGUCUAACCAUUGGGAUGAUUUCAAAGGUGUUUUCCCACACUUAAUGGUGAUCACACCACAGUUAUUAUGGACAGAGGCCAGGUGUGGUGGCUCACACCUGAAAUGGCAGCACUUUGGGAGGCUGAGGUGGGCAGAUCACAUGAGGUCAGGAGUUUGAGACCACCCUGGCCAACGUGAUGAAACCAUAUCUCUACUAAAAAUAUAAAAAUUAGAUGGGUAUGGUAGUGCACACCUGUAAUUCUAGCUACUUGGGAGGCUGAGGCAUGAGAAUCACUUGAACCCGGGAGGCAGUGUUUGCAGUGAACUGAGAUUGCACCACUGCACUCCAGCCUGGGAGACUCUGUCUCAAAAUAAAAUAAAAUGGACAAAAAGAGCAGGACCAAGAAAGUACAACUUUAAUGCAUCUGCAGCCAGUUCUUAGAACAGGACAAGGUGAUUAGCAGAUACCAAUUCUCAUGGCUUUUGUGUUUCACAAAACAUUAAACUGCAGACUGCAUCUUGAAUUAUUUCAUCAAAUGACAAACACUUACACGAUGUAGAAGGAAAUGAUGAAUUCUUAAAAUAUAAUUGACAAGUAAUACAAAGAAGACAGGCUAGUAAGCAUAAAUUUUCACUUUGUGGACUUCCUUGUCAUCACAUUCCCUCUGUUUGUUGUAGUAAUAGAACGUAUUGUCCCUUCUCUGAAGUUUCUUCACAUAUCCUGUCUCCGGCCAACGAUCUACCUGCACAUCAAGAACCAGAGUACAAACGUUACAAUGCAGGGUUGAUUUUUAUCUCAUAUUUUACUAUCAAAUAGUUAAAAAGUAUGACUUACACAAACAAAGUAUAAGAUUAGAUUUUAGAAUGCUUGAGCUUUUAAAAUAUUAUAUGCACAAGACACAUCUUACAUUGCAGCCUUAUGCUAUAAGAUAACUAAUUCAGGCCGAGUGCGGUAGCUCAUUCCUGUAAUCCCAGCACUUUGGGAGGCUGAGGCAGGUGGAUCAAUUGAGGUCAGGAGUUCAAGACCAACCUGGCCAACAUGGUGAAACAAUGCCUCUACUAAAAAUACAAAAAUUAGCUGGGCGUGGUGGUAGGUGCCUAUAAUCCCAGGUACUCAGGGGGCUGAGGCAGAAGAAUCCAUUGAACUCUAGAGGCAGGGGUUGCAGUGACCCUAGAUGGCGCCACUGCACUCCAGCCUGGGUGACAGAACAAGACCCUGUCUCGGAAAAAAAAAAAAAAAGGACAACUAAUUCAGUGCUUUUCUCUAGAGCCCAAUUUCUAGGUUUAUUUUAUUUUAUUUUAUUUUAUUUUAUUUUAUUUUGGAGACAGAGUCUUGCUACACUGCCCAGGCUGUCCUCGAACUGAUCCAGCCAAGUGAUCCUCCCAGCUCGGCCUCCCAAGUGCUGGAAUUACAGGCCUGAGCCACUGCACCCAGCUCCAAUUUCUAGAUUUAAAUUUCAAUACUGUGGCCAAGAUAAGACAAAACAUUCAAAGUAAUCUAAACUUCAUUUCUCUUAUGUUUACAAAAGAUUUCAAACAUUCUAGCUUCUAAAAUUAAUAUCACAGGAGGAAAUUAGGGCUAAGCCCAGGCUCCAUUUUGUAAGUGCUGCCUGCUGAUUGUCGAUGACUACACAGUGAAUAAAGCAAGCAACUCAAGAACUAUCCAAAUGUGUAUAUGCAUUUCCUUCUGCCCCAAUUUCAAGUUCACCUUGAAAUCCACUUUUUUUUUUUUUUUUUUUGAAACAGGGUCUCACUCUGUCUCCCAGGCUGUAGUGCGGUGUUGCGAUCAUAGCUCACUACAGCCUCAACCUCCUGGGCUCAGGGGAUCCUCCAGCCUCUGCCUCCCGAGUAGUUAGAACUACAGGUAUGCACCACCAUGCCCAGAUAAGUUUUCUAUUUUUCUUUUUUUUUUGUAGAGACAGGGUCUCACUAUGUUGCCCAGGCUGGUCUCAAACUCCUGGCCUAAAGCAGUCCUCCUACCUUGGCCUCCCAAAGUGUCAAAAAUCUUUUUUUUAAUUUCUCCUACCAUUCUUUAUUGUUAUUAUUAUUAUUAUUAUUAUUAUUAUUAUUAUAUGUUGCCAAGGUUGGUCUCAAACUCCUGGUCUCAAGUGAUCCUCCUGUCUUGGCUUUCCAAAAUGUUGGGAUUACAGGUGUGAGCCACUGUCCCCAGUCAUCUCCUACCAUUCCUUCUUGUAUACCAUAUUGGUUUAUCUACUUUAUCAUUUGGCUUGAUCUAAUUUGGAGAUCUGUCUCUCCACUUCCUCUUCAAUGUUAUCCCUUCCUGGCCAGGUUAAUGUAUUUCGCUACUGUCAAAUAUAUUCCUUUCAGAUUUUGUGAGAUGCACUUUAUCAUGACCAAAAACUCAUUAUCUAGGUUGUAGAAAACCAAAUCCUGCUCUUCAACACCAUCUAUACAGGCAGUCCUGCACCCUUUCUCCAAAUCCUCUUCUUCAACACCUUCUAUACAGGUAGUCCUGCACCUUUUCUGUUCCCCAUGAAUAAAUCUCAGCUUUCAGUAGGAAGAGAAGAUGAAUAUACCAUCUGUGUCCACAUGUCUUUUACUUUCUAAUAACACAUCUUCAUUUUUUGUGUCAUCUCAUUUACUUAUGAAUUAGCGAGAAUAGGUAACAGCAUAUCUGAGAAACCUUGGCAGGCCCUUUGACAUACAUUACAGAAAACCAGCAGUCCUUUCCACCACUGAGGCCACACCUGCCUGUGUGGCUUCCAAUACCUUUGGCAGGGAAAGGAGGUGUUCUCAAGACUCCAUUACAGACCGCUUUCCUCCUGGGGCCAGGAGCAGAUUAUCUGAAAACCAUCUGAUCCGGUGAGAAAACAGUAGAACCAAUGCCUCUUCUGAACAUCUGGAGCUGAGCUACUUGAUAUGGGACAAUCCUUAGGACAGCUAGGUUGGUCCUAUGCUUGUUGACUUCUAGACAUUUUUCCUUUUGAUGCCCCUUGGCAUCUCUGAACUUUCUUUUCUUCUUGACUUUCAACUUGAUCAUUUCCAUUUGAUCUGAGAAACUUUCUUGCCUGUGGUGGAAUGGAAUGAGAUCCUCAAGUUUAAGGACUUUCCCCUCAGGAGGGAAGGUCAGCAAGCACUAUACCACCAGGUAAUGAAAAACAGCUUCUCUCAGACCCUCAAACCACUGCACACUGGGAGAAACAUCCCACCCAAAGUAAGCCUUCUGUCACCAUCCUAUCCAUCCCUGAAGACCCACUGCAAAUGCCACUGGGGACAUUAAGCCCUCUCUGGGGAUUGUCCCUGGAAGGAAGUGAUUUUGUUUUCCUCUAAAUUCCUGUGCUUCUUUUUGUUAAGGAACAUAUACUUCGAUUUGUGUAAGGUUUUAUUGUUCUUGUUAAUUAUUUUAGAAUCUAAGAUGAUGAGAUUAAUAAAAGUUAUCAUUUACUAAA